rnacentral:rRNA from 1 species
CCCUGGUAGUCCACGCCGUAAACGAUGAGCACUAGGUGUUGGGCCCGUUAGGGCUCAGUGCCGCAGUUAACGCAAUAAGUGCUCCGCCUGGGGAGUACGCUCGCAAGAGUAAAACUCAAAGGAAUUGACGGGGACCCGCACAAGCAGCGGAGCAUGUGGUUUAAUUCGAAGCAACGCGAAGAACCUUACCAGGGCUUGACAUCCUCUUGACAGAUCCUUAAUCGGAUCCUUCUUCGGACAAGAGAGACAGGUGGUGCAUGGUUGUCGUCAGCUCGUGUCGUGAGAUGUUGGGUUAAGUCCCGCAACGAGCGCAACCCUUGCCUUUAGUUGCCAGCAUUCAGUUGGGCACUCUAGAGAGACUGCCGGUGAUAAACCGGAGGAAGGUGGGGAUGACGUCAAAUCAUCAUGCCCCUUAUGGCCUGGGCUACACACGUACUACAAUGGCUGUUACAACGUGCAGCGACCUAGCGAUAGGAAGCGAAUCACUAAAAGACAGUCUCAGUUCGGAUUGAAGUCUGCAACUCGACUUCAUGAAGCUGGAAUCGCUAGUAAUCGCGGAUCAGAAUGCCGCGGUGAAUACGUUCUCGGGCCUUGUACACACCGCCCGUCAUACCAUGAGAGCUGGUAAUACCCGAAGCCGGUGGCCUAACCGCAAGGAAGGAGCCGUCGAAGGUAGGACUAGUGAUUGGGGUCAAGUCGUAACAAGGUAUCCCUACGAGAACGUGGGGAUGGAUCACCUCCUUUCUAAGGAGA